rnacentral:snRNA from 1 species
GUGUUCACUCACUUUGGCAGCACAUAUGCUAAAAUUGGAACGAUACAGAGAAGACCUACCUCUGGCCCCUGCACAAGGAUGACAUGCAAAUUCACAAAGUGUUUGAUAAUUUU